CGCGUCCAGAGCCUGUGCUCCGCAACGGGAGAGGCCACAACGAAAAAAAAGAAAAAGAAAAUACCAGCGUUUGCCAGGUGCCAGCUCCUGGCGACACAGCGGUGUAAAGACAAUUGUAUUUGUUCUCCUCACAGGGCUUCCACCCUCUUUGCCCCUCUGGGCAAGGCCCUCAGAGGUUGAAGAGGCGAGAGUUAAAUGCCGGUGGGUGAGUUGCCACCAGGAUCGCUGCCCUCUGAGAAAGGAGCGUCACUCUGAAGGGAAGCUGGAAUUCCUGGGGAAUUUGGGGCCACGCCUGGGAUGGCAGUGCAAGCAGAAGGCACCUGCCAUGCACAAAGUACCCACAGUUGAAGAGAAGAUUCGUGGAGAUGUGAGAGUAAACCUCGAGGAAUGAGUCUCACCAGUAGCUCAGAUGGCGGAAGGAUUCAGGUUUCCAGAGGAGGCAGCAUCUGGCCUGGUUUGGGCGUGUGGGUAGCAUCUCAGACACAGGGAGCCAAGGACGACCUCAGCAUGGGGCACAGAGCACCCGAGUUCUCCGCUUCGGGCCUGGGAAUUUAUCUACAACUUGCUCGUUUGUUUAUUCAUUGACUGGUUACUGAAUGCUCCUGUGUGCUGGGCACCGGGGCUGUGGCCCUGAGAACAACAGACACUGCCUUCAGACGAUGCGUUUUAGGGGAGAAGACACAUGAAGCACAAGUAGGUGGUGGUAACUGCAGAGCCAAGGGUGUCGGCUGUGCCGGGGUGCACAGGGUGGGAGGGUGUAGCUGCUUUAUCUGGGGUGGUCAGAGAAGGAAUUGAGGGAGCAGGCCCUUGGGGAGCUGGGUGAAGAACAUCCCUGACAGAGGGGCUGCAGGACCAGGGAAGAGUGCCACGGUGGAGAGAACAGGAUCUAGGAGUGGAGUAUCAGAGCUUCGUUGGUUCUGCUACUGAUUUGCGCUGGUUCUUGGACCCAGUGACAAAGCAACGUGAUUGUGAGGAUGGGCUAGGAGCUGGACCACGUGGAUGUGAAUCCCAGCUCUGCCACUUAUGACUAGAUGAGCCGGCAAGCUACUUAACCUUCCCAAGCUUCCAUUUCGCCAUCUGAAAAUAUGGGGGAAACCCCCGUGCUCCAGGCCCUCUUUGGGAGGAUUAGAUGAGUUAAUUCACAUAGAGCACCGAAACCAGGGCCGGACCUGCUGUGAGCCCAAGCUGACAGCAGCUAUUUCUAUGAGAGCAAGUUGUUUGCCCUCUAUGGGGUGCAGUACUGUCAUCCCAGAUUGUGAGCUUCAGAGAGGUGGUCUCUUUAAGUGCUCAACCCAAAGAUUCUUGGAAAUCUGAUGUUAAUUUACAUGUUAUUUUAUGGACCAUUUCAUGUCAUUUGUUAACUGCUUUUUUUUUUUUUACGGUCUGCCCCCAUCACUGUCCUCUUGCAGGGUUUAGCUUCUUUCCAGUGAUGUUGAGUAUGGGGUCCUUCACUUGUCUUUGCUAGAAUUCCACUUCUCUCUGCCUCACUGGUGGGCUUUAUUCCUUCUGGGAUCUUUACACAGCACUCAGUGCACUUAGUUGAUAAAAAACAUUCUCUCUAUUAAUUUCAAUACACUGGCAAGGGAUCUCUGUAGCAGAAACUUUAAAAAAUGAAAUUUCAUUAGGUCCCAAAUUGAGCUACUUGUA